rnacentral:lncRNA from 1 species
AGAUUUAAAAGAGCUUGGCUAAGCAGAGAUCGUACCACCACCAACUGCAAACACAUCUCUUAGCCUUUGCCUCUGUUGAAAAGGCAAGAAAAGGCUGGUGAAGAAACAAACGGCUUGUCAAGGUCAUCAGCACACACGCACCUUCAUCAUCCGGCUCUGGCUGAAUCAAGCUCAGGGCAGACUGAGGUUUGGAGCCUAAGAAACGAAGGCUUUACGAGGUUAAGUACCUUCCCAAGAUGUGCACGGCUGGCACGUUGCAGAAGCUGCAUUUAAACCCGGAUUUAAGUGUCUUCCCGCCGUGGUCUGAACCGCUAGGCUUGACCGCUUCAGCUGGGAAGCCACGGUUCAGUGAAAACGAAUGCGCGCCCGGCCAAGCAGAAACAGUGGCCUCAUCCGCAGGGUCCUCAAGCCUGAAAGUGGCUCCUGGACGAAGACACCCGCCAUCCCUGAGACACGGUUUGGCUCCCUGGAGAAGAAGGCCCUGGACAGCGUGUUCCCGCAGAGGCAGAACUGAGCAUCCAUUCCACGCUGGGAGCAGCAGCGCGCUAGCCAAGCCCUUCCUCUGAUGAACUCCUGUUCUAGAAGCACGGCAGUAAUGAGUGAGUGGGAGUGAAUGAGGGGGAGAAACCCAGAAAUGCUGUGCCGACAGGCGAGGGACAACACGGGGGCCGGGGCAGCCCGGGUGGGGUGGUGCGGCUCGGCCUUGCGCCUGUAGCGCUGCACCUGCAUUUAUGGUUCACGACCUCACUCAAGAGGGAUCAGCUAUUUACUGUCUGGGACAGGUCCUUCCCGGCCAAGGGACCAGCAACCAGCAAAGACCCCCAGGUGGGGACAGGCCUGAAACUUAACUGAAAAGUAGUUAAUGUGUUUAAAAAGCCAUGGGCUGGGCGAUGGAAGAACUGACCUGAUUGGAGAGACGGUGAGCCUGGAACAGGCUGGCUGCACUGUGCCGCCUGCUCUGCCGGGGGCCCUCCCUUAGGGAAGUGGCAACGAAGCCAGGUGACACUAACUUGAGCCUGUACAGCACCCCGCACCAAGCACGUCACACGUCCCCUCUCAUCUUCUCUUUCCAUGACCCUGAGACGUGGCUAAAUACUGUUAUCCUCAUUUUUUAGGUGGGGUAACUGAGGCUUAGAGAUUUUAGUGAGCAAUGUGCCCAGCAUCUCACAGAUAAUAAGAAGAGACAGAGGUGGAAGUUCCUGUUGGGGCUCAGCCAGUUACAAACCCAACUAGUAUCCAUGAGGAUGUGGGUUCGCUCCCUGGCCUCGCUCAGUGGGUUAAGGAGCCAGCGCUGCCGUGAGCUGUGGUGUAGGCUGCAGAUGCAGCUCCGAUUCGACCCCUAGCCUGGGAACCUCCACAUGCCCCGGGUACGGCCCCAAAAAGAGCAAAAGAGAGAGAGAGGUUAUACUUGAACCUGGGUCUGCGGCUCUAGCACACAGGCUCUCUAGCCUGCAGCCACGUGCUCCGGCCCCCGCUCAGAUCUGGGCACCCCUGACCUCUGCAGCAGCCUGAGAACACAGCCUCGGGAGAACCAGGCCUUUGCUCAAGUUCCCAGUCUGUCCCUCUCAGUGGAGGCAACCCCACCCCUACACCAGCACCCACAGAAAUCCAUUUUCCCUGUUCUGACCCAGACAAACAAGGAGGCCACACUGGCUGCCCAGCACCUGGGCUGGGCAGUCCUGGGCCCUUCAAAGCCAAAGGAUUGAAUUUUGCAUUACCCCCCACCCCACCCAACGUAGCAAACAAUCAAAUAUUUACAAAGUCAAGCUCAGUGAGGGCCGUGGAGCUGGACAGCGAGUAAGAUGCUGCCCUGCUUCCGGGGGCCAGCGGGGAAAGGGGAUGUAGCAGUGAAUUCUUUGAACACAGUGCAGGACGGGAGAGACUAGAAUCACGCUGGGUUCCUGUGGGAGCCCUGAAAGGGGUGCAAGGUCACUGCCGAGUCCGGAAGGACGUCGGGUGAGCUCUGUGGGCUGCAGAACCGGGCACCUGGAGGUGGCAACCCGCCAGGGCUGUGGAGGUGAGGUCCUGACACUGGCUCUGGUGUGUGGCUCCCCCCGCCCCAAUACCAAGCGGUCCUCUGACGCCAGCUGAGUGUCCGACAAUUCACCCCAGUUCUGAAACUACCCGGAGGCAGCGUCAGAUCCAAGAGUUAAGGGCUCAGCCCCGCAAGAUGCCCCACCUCAGACGCCAGCCAAAGGCACGGAUCAGACCACCUGACUGUAAAUCAGAGGCUCCCACCCCCACGCUGCGUCCAUUCCAACUUUGAGGGGGCUCACGGGACUCAGGAGACGAGUUGAUGCACUAGACCACUGGCUUCUUGGGAAGGAUAAGAGUCACCAGACAGAUGAAGAGAUACACGGCUGAGGUUUCAGACAGAGAGGCUUCACGCCCGGUGACGUUUGGGGCCCAGCGCAUCGUGGCUACGUUCUGGCUCCUCAACUCGGAAGCUCUCAGAACGCCACCCUUUGGGGGUUUUACAGAGGCUCUGUCAUAUUGGGUGGGCACGAGUGACGAAGCCACUGGCCUUCAGUGAUCGAUUCACCUCCAGCUGCUCUGCCCCAGGGAGGCUUGGGGUCAGGGGGAUGAAGGUUCCAACCCUCUCGUCUGGGGGUUGGUUGUUCUGGGGACCCCACCACCAUCCUGCGGCGGCUGAAGAGCUUUCUAAAAGUCACCUCUUGGAGUUCCCGCUGUAGCUCAGCGGAAAUGAAUCUGAUGAGCAUCCACGCCAGGGCGUGGGCCCCAGCUGUCUCUUCCUCAGCCCUGGGUCCUUUGCCCCAAGAGCUCUCCUGCUGUAAAGCUGCCCUCCUCCCAGGCCUUUCUCAGCGUAUCAAGCUUUAAGCAGCCAAGGUUGAGCCCUGGGCUGGGGACAAAGGUCAGAGUCAAGGCCGACCCAGCCCCAAAUCUCAUCCUAUCCCAAGGCUCCAACCCGGCCCCGCUUCCACCACAUACUCUCACACUUUUAUUUGGAAAGGCUUUUAAACCUACAGACGACUUGAAAGAAGAGAACAAUAAAUACGUCUUUCCCCUGGCUCCCCCCGCUGACAUCCUGCCACAUGCGCCAUGGCUCUGUGUCUCUGCCCUGAGCCACAGCCCAGGAGGAAGACAAUGACCCAACCCUGUCAUUAGUAAGGCUGACUGUGAUAACAAGGAGUGACCACGGCCACAUCUUCCCACGGAAGAGGCGGCCUUUCCAUUCUGUAAUUAAUGAGAGGCUCAUGGAGUGAUGCGAACGGAAAGCGAAGCCACAGACCACCUCGCUAAACAUCCUCGGGGCCACAGGAGGAAGCCGCGAACGCGGCAGGAAGGUGGCUGGCCUCCUGCUGCUGGAACUGAGAUUCUCGCUCCCUUUAGUCUGCGUGAAAUCAGGCGUGGAGAUGAGGACGAGGACGGGUGUGCGGAGCGAGGGCGCCGCCAGGCUCUGCCUGGGAACCUCUCCCGGUCUUGGGGGGACGUGAAAUUACCAAGGCCGGUAGGCGGGGCAUCCCGUGUCCUCGUUAGCGGCCGACGGCGCUCAGGCCACCGGCUUCCGGCCUGGCUCUGUCACCGGCUCCCUCCCAGCGCGGGGCGGGCUCUGUGCGUGAUGAACGCUUCUGCCUGCCCGGCUCCGAGGGUGAAUCCGGGGCCCGUGUUCCUUUUAUCACCGUUUUAUACUCGUCAGGGUUGUUAAGUCAUUUGGUAUCCCAGGCAACCUGAAAGCAGCUCCCGGACGUUUUAACCCCAAAAAAGACAGUGCCAAGGGGAAGAAAGACCUGUCCUUGCCAGGUGCCACUGUCGCAUGCUCGCAGAAGCUAAUGGAUAACCUUUCAGGGGACGACUCCGCAGGGGCUGGGUGAUGUCUCCGUAUGUCUCGGGCUCCGGGUGGGGGGAGACGAUGUCAGAGGAGACCAGCUCUGUAAGCACAGCUCCUUUUUCCAGCUAUGCAAACAGACUUCUGUGAGCGUUUCCGCGGGGAACCCACAAGUUUCCCCUUCCGCCCAAAGGCAGGUUAAUCUUGAGAUGGUUCGGCCAUGGUCAUGCGAUGUUGUCAGUGGUCUCCUGACACGUCCAGAGGACUCCCCCCCCCGGACCCAAGCCCCUUCCAGAGGGCACCUCCAGCCCCACCACCCCUGACUUCGGAGCCGCCAAGUGCCCCCAAGCCAGGCUGCCUGCAGAGCUGCGCCCCACUCCGCCCACCCAGCAGCCUCUUUCGCAGCUUCCUUUGAAACCUUGCCCUGGAGUUCAGCUUCAGGAUUCCUGUAAGUGCCCAGACAGAGAACCUCAGAUGUCAUGAUUUUUCAGGCCCUCCAUUCAUAAAACACUGGGCUGUUUCCACGUGGGGUGUCUUGUUCCUCCCAAGAAUGGAAACAGAAGAAGCUGCCAAGCCUGAGUCCCCGGGAGUCAUGAACCGCAUCCCCACCCCACCCCAGGAUGGCGAGGCUCUGCGGCCCCAGGUCUGUACACGCGGAGGGAAAAGGAAAAGGAUGUUGGAGCCUCCCGGGCCAGCAGACCCUCUGAUAGACGCGUUCUUGCGGCGGAGAGUAGCCUGGGAACCCCUCGCUGCUUUUAAACGCAUCACGGGCAGGGAGGCGCGGGCUGCACAGCUGCCCACGCAGCGGAGGGCCCUGGGCACGGCAGAGCCCGGCGUCGUGCGCCCUCCGCGGUGGCACCUCUGCCGCAGCUAUGGCAAGGCCCGAUCCUUUUAACCCCCGUGCGGGGCUGGGGAUCAAAUCCGCGCCUCUGCAGUGACCUGAGCCACGGCAGUUGAAUUCUCAACCCCCUGCGCCGCUGCAGGAAUUCCCACUGUUUAGGUUCUUCUUAUGCAUACUAAAAUUCCCUGUCCACAAUUUAGUCCAUCUGGGAGAAAUUAGAAAAUGCCUGAAACUGCCAAGCGUAAGGUCACCAGGACUAACACUAAUUAAUGAGUCGGGGGAGAUGUGUAGCAGAUGACAGGAUGUGACGUCUGGUGGCGCCCCUCGCAGAUGGUCUGAGCCUGCCUCGAGGCACUGGUCCCAGAUCUUCAAGGACAGGCUUGCCAUCUUCUGGUCACCAAGUAAAAAUCAGUCCUCACUUGAGAUAAAGGGGCCUUCUUCCCUGCCCUGGAGGCCGGGGGGGCAGCCUCAGGGGUGAGGCCAUGGAAGGGCGGCGAGGGGCCCAACAGCAGGCAAGCACCAGCCGCCCCCACGGGGAGCCAGGGAGCUGCUGCGCUGGUGAACUGGUUCCCAGUGGGGACGCUACCAUCUGGGCGGGGGCAGGCAAUUUUAGUUGUCAUAAUGAAGGCGGUGUUGGGGGGGGAUGUUCGUGGUAUUGAGGGGCCAAUGACACCGGACAUCCUGAAACGUGAAGGACAGGUGCACACCAGGAAGGGUCUUCUCAAGUCCCUUAGCAUACUGAUGUUUAUAAAUCCAAGCUCAGAAAUGAACUCCGUUUUACAUAAGUUACCAAAAAACCACAGGUGGUACUUUUUGGGGGGGAACUACUUAAAUAUACAUUGAAAUUUUCAAGCAUG